rnacentral:rRNA from 1 species
GUGCCAGCAGCCGCGGUAAUACGUAGGGUGCAAGCGUUGUCCGGAAUUAUUGGGCGUAAAGAGCUCGUAGGCGGUUUGUCGCGUCUGCUGUGAAAACCCGAGGCUCAACCUCGGGCCUGCAGUGGGUACGGGCAGACUAGAGUGCGGUAGGGGAGAUUGGAAUUCCUGGUGUAGCGGUGGAAUGCGCAGAUAUCAGGAGGAACACCAAUGGCGAAGGCAGAUCUCUGGCCGUAACUGACGCUGAGAGCGAAAGCAUGGGGAGCGAACAGGAUUAGAUACCCUGGUAGUCC